GAUGAACGCUGGCGGCGUGCCUAAUACAUGCAAGUCGAGCGAACGGACGAGAAGCUUGCUUCUCUGAUGUUAGCGGCGGACGGGUGAGUAACACGUGGAUAACCUACCUAUAAGACUGGGAUAACUUCGGGAAACCGGAGCUAAUACCGGAUAAUAUUUUGAACCGCAUGGUUCAAAAGUAAAAGACGGUCUUGCUGUCACUUAUAGAUGGAUCCGCGCUGCAUUAGCUAGUUGGUAAGGUAACGGCUUACCAAGGCAACGAUGCAUAGCCGACCUGUGAGGAUGAUCUGUCACACGACAAUAGAGCUACUGUUAAUAGCCCUAAGGGAGGUAGCAGAUAGGAAUCUGGCUCGACGCGCGACAGCCUGUCUGUGCACCUGCGUGCGAGUGAUGAAGGCCUUCUGAUCGUAAGUCCCUGUUAUUCGGCUGAAUGUUAUGCGGAAGUAUUUGUCUAUAUCCGUACGGAAGCUAAUCAGAAAGCUACGGCUGACUACGUG
rnacentral:rRNA from 1 species